UAUACGAAGGGUGCAAGCGUUACUCGGAAUUACUGGGCGUAAAGCGUGCGUAGGUGGUCGUUUAAGUCUGUUGUGAAAGCCCUGGGCUCAACCUGGGAACUGCAGUGGAAACUGGACGACUAGAGUGUGGUAGAGGGUAGCGGAAUUCCUGUGUAGCAGUGAAAUGCGUAGAGAUCAGGAGGAACAUCCAUGGCGAAGGCAGCUACCUGGACCAACACUGACACUGAGGCACGAAAGCGUGGGGAGCAAACAGGAUUAGAUACCCUGGUAGUCCACGCCCUAAACGAUGCGAACUGGAUGUUGGGUGCAAUUUGGCACGCAGUAUCGAAGCUAACGCGUUAAGUUCGCCGCCUGGGGAGUACGGUCGCAAGACUGAAACUCAAAGGAAUUGACGGGGGCCCGCACAAGCGGUGGAGUAUGUGGUUUAAUUCGAUGCAACGCGAAGAACCUUACCUGGCCUUGACAUGUCGAGAACUUCCAGAGAUGGAAGGCCUUCGGACUCGACACAG
rnacentral:rRNA from 1 species